rnacentral:misc_RNA from 1 species
UGGCUCUCGCAUCGAUGAAGAACGCAGCGAAAUGCGAUAAGUAAUGUGAAUUGCAGAAUUCAGUGAAUCAUCGAAUCUUUGAACGCACCUUGCGCUCCUUGGUAUUCCGAGGAGCAUGCCUGUUUGAGUGUCAUUAAAUCCUCAACCUCACCAGUUUUGUAACGAGACAGGUGAAGGCUUGGAUGUGGGGGUCUUUGCAGGCUGCUUCAAUGCUGGUCUGCUCCCCUGAAAUGCAUUAGCGAGCUCAUAUCGAGCUUCCGUCUAUUGGUGUGAUAAUUAUCUACGCCGUGGAUUGGACUCGUGCUUGCUUCUAACCGUCCGCAAGGACAAUUUACUUGACCAAUUUGACCUCAAAUCAGGUAGGACUACCCGCUGA